GCCUGAACCCAGGGAAUGAGAGAACUUCCCUAAAAGGCUUUGCAACUUUGGUUUAUGGGCCACAUAAACCUCUCAAUCAUGGAGACUAAUGAGACUACUAGAGAACUGAAAGCCAAUCGGCGCACCUGCUACAAAGAGGAGGGUCAAUGAAGAAGAGAGACAUACCUGAUGCUUCCAAGGGAAGCCACCUCAUCAAGGAGACCCUAAUCCAUCCUACCUAGCAGAUAGCACUAAAAGAGCUAAGAAGCUGCUCUCAAGUUCCCCAAGAGUGAUCACUGUGGGAACUCAGCUGGCUUUUUUUUGGUGGGGGUGUUUACCAGGGAUUGAACUCAGGGGCACUCUAUCCACUGAGCCACAUCCCCAGCCCUAUUUUGUAUUUUAUUAACAGACAGGGUCUCACUGAGUUGCUCAGUGCCUCACUGUUGCUGAGGCUGGCUUUGAACUCACAAUUCUCCUGCCUCAGCCUCCUUAGUUGCUGGGAUUAUAGGGGUGUGCCACAGCACCUGGCUCAGCUGACUCUUAACAGCAGAUAGGAAC
rnacentral:lncRNA from 1 species